GUGCUCAUUUUGGCAGCACAUGUGCUAAAAUCGGGACAAUAUGGAGAAAAUUAGCAUGGCCCCUGCACAGGGAUGACACACAAAUUUGUGAAGCAUUCCAUAUUUUU
rnacentral:snRNA from 1 species